rnacentral:rRNA from 1 species
UACAGAGGUCUCAAGCGUUGUUCGGAUUCAUUGGGCGUAAAGGGUGCGUAGGUGGCGCCGUAAGUCGGGUGUGAAAUUUCGGAGCUUAACUCCGAAACUGCAUUCGAUACUGCGGUGCUUGAGGACUGGAGAGGAGACUGGAAUUCAUGGUGUAGCGGUGGAAUGCGUAGAGAUCCGGAAGAACACCCGUGGCGAAGGCGGCUCUCUGGGACGGUACUGACGCUGAGACGCGAAGGCGUGGGGAGCGAACAGG